CUAACACGUGUUCCUGUGUGAGCUGUAACGGGCCUCCAUGGCGUCUGGACCUUUCUGUUGCUGUAAGUUUUAUUACCUGAAGUUUUAUUGAAUAGAUAUAUAUGUAUAUUUUUGCAAACAAAAGCUGUUUUUCUUUGAACUGUCAAGUUUUGACUGUAAAUUGCACUAAUUGUUCCACAGAUGCUCUUAGAUGUGACGUCCAGGUUACUAUGAGUGUUGUAACAACUAAAGUUGCUGAAUAUGUAGAAGAUAUAGCCUACAUGUUUAAAUAGCUGAUUCUUAAAUGUUUUUAAUCUGAAUAAACUAAAGACCAAGAUCUAAAGAACUAAA